GACCUCCCAUGAUCAUGUCUGGAGAAUGGCUAGUAUUCUACCAGCUUUGGAGAUAGAAGGGACAGCAAGCCCAGCAGAGAUGCCCACUCCAUUCCCAGUUUACUCAGUAGCUGGUGAUUGGAAGAUACUCUGCAACAGUG
rnacentral:snoRNA from 15 species